rnacentral:lncRNA from 1 species
GCGGGCUUGGCGGCGAAAGGCGCUUCCUCAGCCCGCGCGGGAGACCCAGAAGUAGUACUGAGGUAGCGCUCGUCCUCCCGCCGGUCCACCACCACCGAGUGUAGCCCGGGCCCGGCCUAUUUCAUCAGACACAACCCCAGAGCCGGGAGCCACCCCUACCCCGGGAGCCCUUCGCCAAGCACGCAGCUCCAGACCAGAAGCAGUCGCUCCGACCCAGAGCUCCGGGUGGGGCAGAAGAAUCUUUUCUUGCUGCUCUCCUAGGAUCUACCAACCAGAGAUUCUAAUGUGAUACGUUUGGAAUGGAGUUAUCGAUCUGCAUUUUUAAUAGGCAUUCCUCCAGAAUGACAUGGGGAAAUGGAAGGAGAAAAAAAAAAACAAUGCUAAAAAGCCUAGAGAUGACCACAUAUGAAACGACCAUGUGUGUAAAGGAUUGCUGGAAAAUAAAUCAGGCUUGGGUCCCAGCUCCAAAAUGUCUCAUUAUCUGUAUUUGAAUAUCCCCAAAUUUGAAAAAUUCAAAAUCUGAAACACUUCUGAUCCCAAGCAUUUCAGACUCCUAAGAGUUAAUACGAAGUAGAAAGAGAAGUUGGAGUUAAGCAGCUCGUUCCAGUUCUGAUUUUGCCAUUUCCUGUCUGAGUGACCUGAGUUGCUGACAUCUAGGAUGACUUGGGAAGUUACACGUUGAGUACAGAAGAGCCUUUCUCAGCCCAGGUUCCUGAAUGUUAUGUGUGAAGCAGAGCACUCCUGCUCUCAUAACCAAUUAGUGACUGGACAAGAAAUAAACUUCUCUUGUCUUA